GCCUUGGUGGCGCAGUGGUUAAGUGUCUGGCUGCUAACCAGAAGCUUGGAGGUUCGAAUCCACCCAGAGGCA
rnacentral:tRNA from 1 species